rnacentral:rRNA from 1 species
UACAGAGGGUGCGAGCGUUAUCGGAAUUACUGGGCGUAAAGCGCACGUAGUCGGCUUUGCAAGUCGGUUGUGAAAUCCCCGGGCUCAACCUGGGAACUGCAUCCGAGACUGCAUUGCUAGAGUAUGGGAGAGGAAAGCGGAAUUUCUGGUGUAGCAGUGAAAUGCGUAGAUAUCAGAAGGAACAUCAGUGGCGAAGGCGGCUUUCUGGACCAAUACUGACGAUCAGGUGCGAAAGCGUGGGGGAGCAAACAGG